rnacentral:rRNA from 1 species
UACGAAGGGGGCUAGCGUUGCUCGGAAUCACUGGGCGUAAAGGGUGCGUAGGCGGGUCUUAAGUCAGGGGUGAAGUCCUGGAGCUCAACUCCAGAACUGCCUUUGAUACUGAGGAUCUUGAGUUCGGGAGAGGUGAGUGGAACUGCGAGUGUAGAGGUGAAAUUCGUAGAUAUUCGCAAGAACACCAGUGGCGAAGGCGGCUCACUGGCCCGGAACUGACGCUGAGACGCGAAAGCGUGGGGAGCAAACAGG